rnacentral:lncRNA from 1 species
UCUAUAAUUUGGGCUAGAUGCUCAUUCAUUUCAUUGAGCCGACAAGUUAGAUUGAGAUCUCCAACUCCUCCCGAGACUGUUGUCCCUUUUUAUGAGCAAGUCUUGUACCGCAUUAGAGCUUCCCUAUAACUGUCUCUAUUUGUUUGCCGAGUAAGAGCUUCUCUGUUGUUUUAUGGGGACCACAAAUGAUGAGAUUGAUUGUC